rnacentral:rRNA from 1 species
UUGAACGCUGGCGGCAUGCCUUACACAUGCAAGUCGAACGGCAGCGCGGGGGCAACCCUGGCGGCGAGUGGCGAACGGGUGAGUAAUAUAUCGGAACGUGCCCUAGAGUGGGGGAUAACGUAGCGAAAGUUACGCUAAUACCGCAUACGAUCUACGGAUGAAAGCGGGGGAUCGCAAGACCUCGCGCUCAUGGAGCGGCCGAUAUCUGAUUAGCUAGUUGGUAGGGUAAAAGCCUACCAAGGCAUCGAUCAGUAGCUGGUCUGAGAGGACGACCAGCCACACUGGGACUGAGACACGGCCCAGACUCCUACGGGAGGCAGCAGUGGGGAAUUUUGGACAAUGGGGGCAACCCUGAUCCAGCAAUGCCGCGUGAGUGAAGAAGGCCUUCGGGUUGUAAAGCUCUUUUGUCAGGGAAGAAACGGUUUGGUCUAAUACACUGAGCUAAUGACGGUACCUGAAGAAUAAGCACCGGCUAACUACGU